UACGUAGGGUCCAAGCGUUAUCCGGAAUCACUGGGCGUAAAGCGUGCGUAGGCGGAUGUUUAAGUGUAAUGCGAAAUCCUGUGGCUCAACCAUAUGGACUGUAUUGCAUACUGGAUGUCUUGAGGAAUGCAGAGGCAAGUGGAAUUACCGGUGUAGCAGUGAAAUGCGUAGAUAUCGGUAGGAACACCAAUGGCGAAGGCAGCUUGCUGGGCAUUAUCUGACGCUAAGGCACGAAAGCGUGGGGAGCGAACAGG
rnacentral:rRNA from 1 species